rnacentral:rRNA from 1 species
GACGGGGCCCGCACAAGCGGUGGAGUAUGUGGUUUAAUUCGAUGCAACGCGAAGAACCUUACCUGGUCUUGACAUCCCGGAGACCCUUAGGAAACUAGGGGGUGCUUCCAUCUGGAAGAAUCUGGAGACAGGUGCUGCAUGGCUGUCGUCAGCUCGUGUCGUGAGAUGUUGGGUUAAGUCCCGCAACGAGCGCAACCCUUGCCUUUAGUUGCCAGCAGUUCGGCUGGGCACUCUAAAGGGACUGCCGGUGUUAAACCGGAGGAAGGUGGGGAUGACGUCAAGUCCUCAUGGCCUUUAUGACCAGGGCUACACACGUACUACAAUGGCCGAUACAAAGGGCAGCGACACUGCGAGGUGAAGCCAAUCCCGUAAAAUCGGUCUCAGUCCGGAUUGGAGUCUGCAACUCGACUCCAUGAAGUUGGAAUCGCUAGUAAUCGCAGAUCAGCCAAGCUGCGGUGAAUACGUUCCCGGGCCUU